GAUGAACGCUGGCGGCGUGCCUAAUACAUGCAAGUCGAGCGAACAGACGAGGAGCUUGCUCCUCUGACGUUAGCGGCGGACGGGUGAGUAACACGUGGAUAACCUACCUAUAAGACUGGGAUAACUUCGGGAAACCGGAGCUAAUACCGGAUAAUAUAUUGAACCGCAUGGUUCAAUAGUGAAAGACGGGUUUGCUGUCACUUAUAGAUGGAUCCGCGCCGCAUUAGCUAGUUGGUAAGGUAACGGCUUACCAAGGCAACGAUGCGUAGCCGACCUGAGGGGGUGAUCGGCCACACUGGAACUGAGACACGGUCCAGACUCCUACGGGAGGCAGCAGUAGGGAAUCUUCCGCAAUGGGCGAAAGCCUGACGGAGCAACGCCGCGUGAGUGAUGAAGGUCUUCGGAUCGUAAAACUCUGUUAUUAGGGAAGAACAAAUGUGUAAGUAACUAUGCACGUCUUGACGGUACCUAAUCAGAAAGCCACGGCUAACUACGUG
rnacentral:rRNA from 1 species